GAGAGUGCAUUUCGUUCCAUCAAAACAAGAAGAAGAAAAAGGAAGAAGAAGGAGAAAUAACUUCUCUGUCGUUUUGGCCUUCGGUUUUUCUUCUGCUUUAGAAUUUAAAGAGGAAUUCGGGAGAGAAUUCGCAGAGCUGGACUGUGUGUAAUGUUAAGGAUCUAAUUACGAAGCUUUUCUCUGAGCCUGUUGUGUGUUCGCGGGAGAGAGAAGGAGAGAAGAGCUUGCAGAGAUACAUUCAGAAGAGCUUUGGGAGGAAUUUGAAGUGAAAUCGAUUGCGAUUUCCUGGGAUAACUUCCAAGGUGGAUCUCAUUUCAUUGAAAUUUACAGAGAAAAGGUCUAGAAAUCUAGUUUAGAGGUACAUUUCCAGGAGAUUUGACCCCUUUUUUUUGAAGAAAUCUCAACUGGGGUAUGAGAUAAAGAAGAACAAGCCUCUCCCGUUCAUGAGUGUCAGGGACAUAGGCUCGAAGUUUCAAUCAUUUCGUUGAUUUUCGGCUCUAGAUUUGCAUUUUGCAAAGUCAGAAGGCCUAGAAGAGCAAGAUUGCCCAAAAGAAGCAAACUUUCUUUUGCAAAUUCAGGAUUGUAGCUGCUUGCGAAAUCUCAGUAUAACAGGUGUGCAAAAGGAGAUGGAAAGGGACUGUCUUAGGCACACCCAUACUAAAGACACCCACAAUCCCAACACUCGAGACAAAACCGGAGGGGACGCCUCAGCCUCUCUGCUGUUGAGAGCGAGCUCCGAUGCCAUACGACACGCAACGACGUCGUCCGAUUUCGUUUUGCAGUGGGGGAACCGCAAGCGCCUCAGGUGUAUGAAGAUCCAGGUCAAGGACAAGGGCAAAGACGACUCCGACGCCCCGGUUACCCGAACCACAGUCCGGGUCGACCGCCGGGUCGUCCGACCCGAUAAGGACCCGGCCAAUCAGCCCUCCACCGCCGGGAACUCUAAUCAGACGAAUGGGUACUUGAAUCUCCGUCGACGGCCGGGCCGCCCGCCGGGUCCCCCGCCCCGAUAAGGCCCCGGCCAAUCAGCCCCCCACCGCCGGUAACUCUAAUCAGACGAAUGGGUAUUUGAAUCUCCGUCAACGGCCGUUAUCUCCGCAGCAGCCGCCACUUCAGCGUGUUCUCAGAAACUCAGAGACCACAACAAGUGCCAUGAGAGGCCAGAGCAACGGAGGCUUGAGGGGAAUUGUUUCACCCGACAACAGAGCGGGUGCGCACGAUAAGAAAGGCAACCACCACCACCACCACCACCAUAAUAAUGAGAAUAACAACACCAAGUCUGCAGCCUCUUCGGACACGGCGCACGAUAGUAAGAAGGGGGGAGGUGGGUCUUCAUCGGGAAGCGGCGACGCAGCGUUGGUGCCACCGAUGGUCUGGCCGCCGAAGUUCGUGAUUGCUUUGACCAACAAAGAGAAAGAAGAGGACUUCAUGGCAAUCAAGGGGUCAAAAUUGCCUCAGAGACCCAAGAAGAGAGCGAAGUUCAUUCAACGCACCCUCAAUCUGGUAAGCCCAGGAGCAUGGCUCUGUGAUCUGACCCUGGAACGGUACGAGGUCAGAGAGAAGAAGAUUUCCAAGAAGAGACCAAGAGGGCUAAAGGCGAUGGGCAACGUGGAGUCUGACUCUGAAUAGAAAGGAGUUUUAGUGAAAAAACUAAUAUAGCAUUUUCGUUUUUUUUCCCCUUCUUUUUUUGAAGGUAUGAGAAAAAUGUUAGAACCUUUGUAAAAUCUUCACCUUUCAACCAUCAGAAUAAUGAAUGGAUUCAUUUCCGGUCCUGUAUACA